rnacentral:rRNA from 1 species
UACAGAGGGGGCAAGCGUUAUUCGGAAUUAUUGGGCGUAAAGGGCGCGUAGGCGGCCUGGCAAGUGGAAGGUGAAAUCCCUCGGCUUAACCGAGGAACUGCCCUCCAAACUGCUUGGCUUGAGUCCGGGAGAGGUGAGUGGAAUUCCCAGUGUAGCGGUGAAAUGCGUAGAUAUCGGAAGGAACACCAGUGGCGAAAGCGGCUUCCUGGUCCGACACCGACGUUCAGGCACGAAAGCGUGGGGAGCAAACAGG